UUUGGAGUGUCUGGUUCGAUCAGAGCAAAAGGGGCGACCAGGGAACUCCCCUUCAAACCCUAGCUCUUACAAAAACUCACAAUUGAAGGCUCCAAUCAAGUCCAAAUCGAAAUCUGAAUGUAGAUUAGUGAUCACCUCGUUGAAGGGAUCAUAAGGCGAGGAAUCCGGAUCGUCGAGUGGACAAGCCGGAGAAGAUACGCGUUUGAAGGGUGCGCUUUAAUGGUGAUGUUCGUUAGCUACGGAUGCCGAUCAAGCGUGAAAAAGAAUCGAACACUAUUUUUGAAGACUUCCGCGCUAAUCUAUUCUAGCUAGACUAUGUUUUUUUUUUUGAAAACUUUAUUAGUAGUGAAUGUUUUAAACUAGAAGGUUGGUUAUGUUAAACCGCCUAAACAAUGUUUAUCUUAACUUGUUAAUUAAGUUUUGGUAAGUAUGCAUUCUGUUUUAAAAA